rnacentral:rRNA from 1 species
UACAGAGGGUGCAAGCGUUAAUCGGAAUCACUGGGCGUAAAGCGUGCGUAGGUGGUCAUGCAAGUCGGAUGUGAAAUCCCCGGGCUUAACCUGGGAACUGCAUUCGAUACUACAUGGCUAGAGUAUGGUAGAGGGAAGUGGAAUUUCCGGUGUAGCGGUGAAAUGCGUAGAUAUCGGAAGGAACACAGGUGGCGAAAGCGGCGCGCUGGACCUCUACUGACGCUGAGGCGCGAAAGCCAGGGGAGCAAACGGG